GGCGGAGGGAAGCUCAUCGCUGGGGCCACGAGCUGAGUGCCUUCUGUCACUCUACCCCAUGUCCCCUGGGAAGGUCUGAGACUAGGGCCAUAUAAGCGACCCUAACAGGGUCCUCCCUGAGUUUCGGGGAGGUGAGUUCCCAGAGAACGGGGCUCCGCGCGAGGGCAGACUGGGCAGGAGAUGCCAUGGACCCCGCCCUUCGGGGCGGGGCCUGGCGGAUGCCUCCUUAGCCGGAGCUUGGAACAGACUCACGGCCAGCGAAGUGAGUUCAAUGGCUGAGGUGAGGUACCCUCCUCGGGGGCCUCAUAACCCAAUUCAGACUACUCUCCCCCGCC
rnacentral:RNase_P_RNA from 1 species